GACUGGAUUGCUUGGUAGAGGGGCAGGAUAUAACUCUGGAGACCAAGGUUCGAUUCCCUGCUCAGUCA